AUUUACUCAUCGCGCCAAAAAAAUAUAAUUUUUACGUAAAUCGUUUUUCUUAAUUAUUAUUUUCGUUCGUCGCCCGAGUAAACCGUCGAUUUCACCGUUAUUCUCGCGCCGAUAUCAAAAUUAUAUUAUUUUGUGUUUGAUUUUUCUGUUUUUAUUUUAUUUACUAUGGUCCCUGCAACAACAUUUAAGAACGAUCGGCAGCACUCGACAGCUAGCAUUCAUCUUCAAGCUGUCCAUAGCAUGCAUCAGCGGCGAUGAUUAACCGAUGAAAUUGUUAUUGGCAGUCAUAUCAUGUACUCGAUGUACAGAUACAAUGCAGACRCGUAUAGAGUUGAAAUUAUGCGGAAUAUUGUACUAUUUGGAUCUAUAUAAUAUACUUUGCAAACUAAAACUAUAUUCGUUUCCUCAUCGGUGAUGAAAAUUUCAGACACACUAUUACAAACUCCUCGGAACGGAUACAGAUAAACGGCAGUGAGACAAAUUGAUGACGUGAACCUGCAUAAUGAUUUUUAUGAAGCAAAAUAUGUAGUACGAAAAACACAAACAAGAAUUCGUUUUUUGGCGAUUAGUCGAAGAUACCGUUUCAUACAAAACAACAUCAUUGAUUCACAGUCGUAAUCAAAGCUAUUCUCACGAACUGUUGAGUGGCGACGAAAAAAACCAUAUUCUUCCGAAGAACCCAAUGCGAUUUGUCGAAUGUCAGUGUGCCGCCAGACGCAGACGAUCGACGGUUAUCACUCUCUGUUGGCGGAAUUCGGAGGCUGAGCGAACGUUCCUAGACCUGGUUGUAUAAUUGCAUUCCACACGGUGCCGCUACAAAAUAAACGAUCAACAUUUUACCGAUGAAAUACCACCAAUGUCGCCUGUCAUGGCCACAAAAAAAAAACUCACUCAAGUCCAGUACAUCAAUGAUAAUAAUUAUAACAAAAACGACGACAGCAACAAAAACAAUAUAACGCAGUACAGAGAGACAAAAAUUUCUAGAAUCGCAACUAUUGUCGUCGUCAAAUUCAAUGGAUGAUUGAUUCCUGUCCAGAGAGGAGUGACUUUCAGUAACGAACAAACGAACAG